rnacentral:rRNA from 1 species
AUUGAACGUUGGCGGCAGGCUUAACACAUGCAAGUCGAGCGGUAACAGAGAGAAGCUUGCUUCUCUGCUGACGAGCGGCGGACGGGUGAGUAAUGCCUAGGAAUCUGCCUAGUAGUGGGGGAUAACUUGCCGAAAGGUAAGCUAAUACCGCAUACGUCCUACGGGAGAAAGGAGGGGACCUUCGGGCCUUUCGCUAUUAGAUGAGCCUAGGUCGGAUUAGUUAGUUGGUGAGGUAAUGGCUCACCAAGACCGCGAUCCGUAACUGGUCUGAGAGGAUGAUCAGUCACACUGGAACUGAGACACGGUCCAGACUCCUACGGGAGGCAGCAGUGGGGAGUAUUGGACAAUGGGGGGAACCCUGAUCCAGCCAUGCCGCGUGUGUGAAGAAGGUCUUAGGAUUGUAAAGCACUUUAAGUUGGGAGGAAGAGCAGUUAACUAAUAUUUGACUGUUUUGACGUUACCGACAGAAUAAGCACCGGCUAACUUCGUGCCAGCCGCCGCAGUAA